rnacentral:lncRNA from 1 species
GAAGAAUCAAUAGUACAAUCAGUAAUUGAACAAUUGGCAGCCAGCUUGCAGUAACAGAAUGAGAAUUCUCUAGAAGAAGGAAGAGGAAUUUUUGUGUUAGUUAGGGAAUUUGUUGAGAGAACGUGUUUGUAAAUUAUUCCUUCUAGAAUAGCCUAUUUUUGUGUAUAUAUACUGUGAUAUUCUGUACAGUUUUGCAAGCAGAAAAAUCAAUACAAUUAUUUACUUCAUUUAUGCCCCAAUCAUUCAGCUAAUUUUCUUUGUUAUAAACUCAUUUCUAAAAUCAUGUCUUUGGACUCCUCAACCCCCUUAAAUGCAGGAUAUAUUUAAAUCAGUCCAGUCUUCUUAUCUCCCUUAUGCCACUGCUCAAACACCCUUCAAGCUGUCCAAAAGCAUGAAUUACUCUUUCUGUAAAACCCAAUUUACCAAUUCCCUAUUUGGUUACAAUCCCAUAUACGUUGAUGGCUCGUUUCCUUGCCCCGAUACAAUUAUUCCAGAGACAGGAGAAACAAAAUAAAAAAUUAAUCAAGAACACAAGCUUUGAUUGAGAUAACACUGCCUUGUGUUGCUGGCCAUUCAAGUAUCAAUCAACAAUCAUAAACGGGGCGAAAAUGCUGCUAAAGGUUGAAAACUGGAGACUACAAUUGCCAAUAAAUUGAAAAGCUGGGUGCCUUGACGAGACCACCAAUGAGGGACAACUGGUUGGUGAGUUAUUAUAGACGAUUUUGCUAUGAUCAGCACCCUAUUACAGAUGCCAAAUAAUCUCUCGUGUUUUAGAAGCUCGCUUCGAGAUCUUUGAAAUGGUCAUUUUCGAGCUCACUUUCAUGUUACCUUUUUCUACCAAACAACCAAUCCAAACGGAUCGUCGGUUUUGACCAGUGGCGGAUCUAGGUGGUGGCGAGCGGUUGCCCUAGCUGGAUUCACCGUAACCACCGUCCGCUGGAAUGUAGCAGAGACAGACGUUGAGACACAAGGAAGAAAGAAGAAGAGGAAGAGAGGAAGAGAGGAUUUGGGUUGGCUCAAUAUGUGAUGACAGACUUGGGCUGCUGGGUAGUUGGACUUAGUGGGGGGAGGGGGAGGGCUUUUUUUCUUUAACAAGGCAGGCCCAAUUGCUCAAAUAUCAAAUGAAUGAAAAUGGAAAUCUUCUCCUAAUCUCCUUCCCAUCAAACCGCAGUAGAGAGAAGCAAAUUGGAAACCAUUCUUGAGUGAUGUUUCCCCCAAUUCCUUUCGCUCAAUUCCUUACCAAAAGCUCUCCACGCAGGCACGCACCGACGCACGUUCCAGUUUCAGCAAAUCUUUUUGAUCGACAACUCUGCUAUGUGAUUUGUAAAGUCCUGAGUUCGUCGUAGGUAUUGGCUAUUUUCUGGCUUAAAUAUUACACGCCCACAGGCCACAAAUGCAUAUGAAGUAGUUUAAUUUUCCAGUUUUCCGUUAGUUUAAUUUUCUAGUUUUUUUCCUGAUAACAGAUUCUUUGUUGAGCGAGGUUUAAAAAAUUGGAAAUCAAAUUGUUUCAUGAAGUGGACAGUAGAUUAAUAGUUUAAUUUUCCAGUUUUGGGUUAGUUGUUGGUAGUUUCAUUGCGUGCUCUUUAGUUUGAAUGAUCUGAUUGAUUGGAAAAUUUAUUAUGUGAUUAUGCAAAUGUAG